AAGGCCCUAUGGGUUGUAAACUGCUUUUACACCGGAGAAAACCCCCUUUCGUGAAAGGGGCUGAUAGUAUGGUGAGAAUAAGCAUCGGCUAACUUCGUGC
rnacentral:rRNA from 1 species